rnacentral:rRNA from 1 species
AAAGAAGGGUUAGCCGAAGGAGGAGAGCAGGACAUGUGCGCUCCCUCUCGGCGGCGGAGGAAGGGAAGGUAUGUUUGGGAGAAGGGGCGGAGGGGAGCAGGCGGCGGCGGUGGCUGGUCGGCGACACCGGCUGCAGCCCUUCGCGGCGGCGAAACCGCGAUGGUGGUGGGCAGGGGAGAGCCGCGACGGGGAGACGGAGGAGGGGAGGGCAGUGUGCUGGAGCGGCGGGCCUUCUGGUGGGUACCACUCGGCGGCGGCUAGGUGGGCGCGCUCCGCGGUAGCUAAUAGGGAGCCUGUGCGACAACACGCGUCUGUGCGGGGGCUGAGGGGCCGAGUACGCGGCAGUGCGGCUGGUGGAGGCCGGGACUGGAUCCCAAACCACCCGCUCGAGAACUCUCGGCUGGAGUGCGGCUGGGCUCCACUUGGCGCAGGGUAGGUAGUGCCCCCGACCUAGGAUUCCCCGUCUCCACGUUAGGACGUCUCGACGACCUAGGCUUUUAUUUCCACACUAACCGGACUGCCGUUGAGCCCGAACGACUCUUGAUUCUCCGUCGUCGUCCCCCCUCUCCCUUUACCCCUUCGGGGAUACGGCCGCACUCGCUGCCAAGGGGUUGCUCGACCACCGAGUAAUGGAUAGUGAGCCUCCUACCGGCUCCGCCCCAACAAGCUGUUGUGCAGUGGUGGCUCGACGACGGCUCUAUUACGGCUACGAGUUAGGCCUAGACCUACAGAGUAGAGACUUGCAAUCUUUGCGACUCUUCAGGUACAUUCGAACGGGUACGACCAAGGCGCGUUGUAAUAUAGAGACCUGAAAGUAUGAAGGUGUCGAGAUCUGUACUUGAAGGACUAUACCAUUGUUUUAAGACCACCUCUCUGGAGGGUAUAAAUAAUCUGAACGAACGAAACCGUACAAUGAAGGAGAUUUAAAAUUUAUCCUAUAAGAACCCUUACUCUACAUUAAAAUCCUUUAUUAAUCAUAAGUCGUGAAAUAAAAUAGGACUUUGAUAACUAGAGAGAGAGAGAGAGAGAGAGAGAGAGAUGCAUGUAGAUGUAUAUAGCGUGGUCGACAAGGUCCAUCUCAUCAUCACCGGUGUUUUAAAAUGACUCUAUUAGUACGCUCUAAUGGCUGCUUCUUUUAAGAGUAUCUUCCUAUCUUACCGCCCAUAUCUAUAUUAUUAUAAACCACAGUCUAUACAAAUGAGUCUACUAGGUUCUUGACUUACUUGGUAACCUUAUAAACCACAGUCUAUAGAAAAAAACAUAUUCUAUUGACCAAAUAGACAAAUCAACUAGGAAUGACAGCCAACAGGUACUGCCUUCAAAUUCAAUGACAACUUUAACUAAUUCAACUCAAAAGAUUACAAACGGAGAAAGAUUACAGUUAAUAGUCCAUUCCUGAGGUCAGAUUUACAUUAGAUAUCAAGAUCCGAUACGUUUAUUUUACUUCAUGGACGGAUAAAAAUCACUUACGGGAACCACCGAAACGGUACCCGAGUUAUCAAUUGUAUACAAGCACUAGACCAUUACGAAAAUAAAAACAUCCGGCGUUUCCGGCACGCAACACACUUAUGCACAGUAUCACCAGUCGUCACCGUUCGGAGCGGCGCAGGUUUGGUUACAAUAAGCCGGAGUACAUUGUAUAAGGGAGAAAUCAAAAGUCAGAGGAUGAUAAUGAUUACUUUAAAAUCAAUAGUUCCCACAUAUUAUAGAACCUUCGAAUCACAGCAUAAACUUACAAGAAGACGUAAAUUCGAUUUUAUACAAUUAGACGUAACUAAAUAAAAGUCAACUCAUACUUCCUCGUUUCUCGAUGUAUUAAGAAUAAGAAAUCAUAGGUACACUUAAUCAAAAGUGGAGCCAAACACACGACUUUCGAUAACUUUGUAUAGGUAACAUAACAGUUUACAACAUAACACACUCAGUAAAGAAACAACACCUACAGGAGCCGUUCUUACUUCGUACCUGGAAUUGCAGGGAUCCAUAUCGUCUAGUAGUAGGGAAGGAAAAGAUUAAAUAAAAGCAUCUUAUCCUAGUUGUGGGUGUCAUGUCAGACCCAAGUAUUUCACACACGUAAAUAGAGGUUACGUAAAGAGUGUUAGACUUUGAAGAACGAAUGUCAAACAAUUCCACUUCUUUAGACGAAUCCGAUGACGAAGAAAAAACUCAUACUCAAGUAAAAGGAAAAGGUAUCCUACCGAUGCUAACUUUUUGAGAGAAGUCGAAGAAAAGAGAGAGAUAUGUUAAGGAAAAGUGAGACUUGGCUUACUUUUUAGACUGCCCUGACGUGUAUAUAGAACGUGACUUAGACCGGUAUACAAAUUCAUUUUAUCAAGUCCAAUAUUCGGGCCUUUCUUUAACUUAUAUUCUACACGAAAACUUAACGACUGCUGGUUUCAGGCGUUCAUCCGAUAUCAGAAGACUAGAAAGUCGAAUAACGUCAUUAUAAUAAGGAAGAAGAAAAGAGGUCCGUCUUUUCUGUAUGACUAAACUUCUGGUGGAGUUAACAAACCCUAGACCUAACAGAUAUGUAUAAAAAAACCAUCAACCGUCUAGACCGGGUAGUAUUAAAACAGGAUGAUGGUACGUCAAGAUAGGAGCUGAUGGCCAAGGUCUCCCCCGUCUUCUCCUUCGGUAAACGUGAGUGGUCAUUCAACCCGUUCCGAUGUUGGAAGGAACCACUCAUGACGGAGCCGAUGUUGGAGGGAGCCUCAUUACCUUACAAUUAACCUACCACCAACGUACAAGUUCAUACCCUUUACUACUCGAGGACGAAGAAAAAUACGGUCGAGAUACGGCAUCCAGAGUCUGUAUUUCUUAGAAGGCUCCUGGUAAAUACUGCGUAAGACCACGUUUAUCACCUUCAGAAAAUCAUUUAUAUAUAAGUACACUUUGACUUUAAGUCUGUUGGAAUCUACUUGUAAUAAAGGACAGUCACCUAACUAUCAACAUGAUUUAGAACGGGCUCCAUGUACGGAUGGGACUUUGUACAAUAAUUCCUUACA